GGAGUGGGCGGCUUCACCACUGGUGGAGAAGGAGUUGGGGGCUUGACUACUGGUGGAGAAGGAGUCGGUGGCUUAACCACUGGUGGUGUAGGGGUCGGUGGCUUGACGACUGGCGGGGCAGGAGUUGGGGCCUUGACCACUGGUGGGUAAGGAGGAGUUGGUGCCUUGACUGGGGGUGCAGGAGUGGGAUUCUUGGCGACUGGUGGUACAGGAGCUGGUGUUGGGGCGACUAGUAUUUGGGAAUAAGUGAUCUGUACCAACUCAGCAAAAAUGUGCUCUCAUAUCAGCAAUUUGGUCCUGGAUUCAAUUUCUAGUACCACAUUGAACAAAGCAACAAGAAAAAUUACAGAAACAGUGAACUGAAAAGUUACCUUCUGCAAGAACUCUUCACUGGGAUAUAAAGCCUGCAAGAAACAUAAACACUGUUAAGCAAAAAGCACUUUAAUCUGUGCGAAAGACAAAGACAUAAACAAUGAGCCAUACCUUCGCAGCAGUAAGUAAGAGAAAAGAAGUAACCAGAAACAACGCAGCCUUGGCCGCCAUUGCAGGAAGCAAGUCUUGAGGGGUGUGCAGUUGAAGGAGAAGGAGCAAGCGGGUUUAAAUAGAGUAACAAGGAGGUGAAGAUUGAUUGAAUUAAAUGUGAAUGCCAGCUAUUUCUGAUCACAUAGACAUAAGAGUAAUGGGUGGCAGUCCAAAGUCUGACUUAAGGUUCGACCCACAUGCCCCAAGGAGUGUGUCUCCUAAUUGACAAGCUUUAUCUUUUCAAUCAUGUCACUCAGUGACGGUGUGCACAGGCACAGCCCUUGAUAUUUUUUUUUAUUAACCCGGUACACGAGAUCUGUUCUUUACAAACAAAGCUACCAUUUCAUGGA